GCAACGAGCGCAACCCUCGUCCUAUGUUGCCAGCGGGUCAUGCCGGGGACUCAUGGGAGACUGCCGGGUCAACUCGGAGGAAGUGGGAUGACGUCAAAUCAUCAUGCCCCUUAUGUCUUGGGCUUCACGCAUGCUACAAUGGCCGGUACAAAGGGCUGCGAUACCGCGAGGUGGAGCGAAUCCCAAGAAAGCCGGUCUCAGUUCGGAUUGGGGUCUGCAACUCGACCCCAUGAAGUCGGAGUCGCUAGUAAUCGCAGAUCAGCAACGCUGCGGUGAAUAACGUUCCCCGGGCCCGUU
rnacentral:rRNA from 1 species